CCCUUAGAUGUUCUGGGCCGCACGCGCGCUACAAUGGUCUUCGCAAACGGAUGCAUUCUCGAAGGAGAAUGCCAAUCUUGGAAUCUAUGCCUUGGUCGGGACAGUUGCUUGCAAUUUUUCGACUCGAACCAGGAAUUCCUUGUAAUCGUGAUUCAUCACAUCACGAUGAGUACGUCCCUGCCCUUUGUACACACCGCCCGUCGCUCCUACCGAUCGAAGAGUUAGGUGAAUUGUUUUGAUCGAUAAGAUUUGACUAUGGUCAACUCUCGUUGUGAAAUUCUGUGAAUCUGACUGUUUAGAGGAAGGAAAAGUCGUAACA
rnacentral:rRNA from 1 species